GACGAACGCUGGCGGCGUGCUUAACACAUGCAAGUCGAACGGAAAGGCCCUGCUUUUGUGGGGUGCUCGAGUGGCGAACGGGUGAGUAACACGUGAGUAACCUGCCCUUGACUUUGGGAUAACUUCAGGAAACUGGGGCUAAUACCGGAUAGGAGCUCCUGCUGCAGGGGGGGGGUUGGAAAGGUUCGGCGGUUGGGGAUGGACUCGCGGCUUAUCAGCUUGUUGGUGGGGUAGUGGCUUACCAAGGCUUUGACGGGUAGCCGGCCUGGGAGGGUGACCGGCCACAUUGGGCUGGGGAUCCGGCCCAGCCUCCUCCGGGGGGCAGCAGUGGGGAAUAUUGCCCAAUGGGCGGAAGCCUGAUGCAGCAACGCCGCGUGCGGGAUGACGGCCUUCGGGUUGUAACCCGCUUUCGCCUGUGACGAAGCGUGAGUGACGGUAAUGGGUAAAGAAGCACCGGCUAACUACGUG
rnacentral:rRNA from 1 species